rnacentral:rRNA from 1 species
AGAAUCAACGCUGGCGGCGUGCCUAACACAUGCAAGUCGAACGCGAAAACCCCGAAAGGGGUUAGUAGAGUGGCAAACGGGUGAGUAACGCGUGGGUGACCUGCCUUCGAGCGGGGAUACGGUCCGAAAGGGCGCUAAUACCGCAUAACAUCCUGCCUUUGAACAGGUGGCGAUCAAAGCUGGGGAUUCGCAAGAACCCGGCACUUGAAGAGGGGCCCGCGUCUGAUUAGCUAGUUGGUGAGGUAACGGCUCACCAAGGCAACGAUCAGUA